rnacentral:rRNA from 1 species
GAUGAACGCUGGCGGCGUGCUUAACACAUGCAAGUCGAACGGGAUCGGCUGGAGCUUGCUCCGGCCGUGAGAGUGGCGAACGGGUGAGUAAUGCGUGACCGACCUGCCCCAUACACCGGAAUAGCUCCUGGAAACGGGUGGUAAUGCCGGAUGCUCCAGUUGGAUGCAUGUCCUUCUGGGAAAGAUUCUAUCGGUAUGGGAUGGGGUCGCGUCCUAUCAGGUAGUCGGCGGGGUAACGGCCCACCGAGCCUACGACGGGUAGCCGGCCUGAGAGGGCGACCGGCCACAUUGGGACUGAGAUACGGCCCAGACUCCUACGGGAGGCAGCAGUGGGGAAUAUUGCACAAUGGGCGCAAGCCUGAUGCAGCGACGCCGCGUGCGGGAUGACGGCCUUCGGGUUGUAAACCGCUUUUGACUGGGAGCAAGCCCUUCGGGGUGAGUGUACCUUUCGAAUAAGCACCGGCUA